rnacentral:rRNA from 1 species
GACGAACGCUGGCGGCGUGCUUAACACAUGCCAGUCGAACGGACAGGCCCUGCUUUUGUGGGGUGCUCGAGUGGCGAACGGGUGUGUAACACGUGAGUAACCUGCCCUUGACUUUGGGAUAACUUCAGGAAACUGGGGCUAAUACCGGAUAGGAGCUCCUGCUGCAUGGUGGUGGUUGGAAAGUUUCGGCUGUUGGGGAUGGACUCGCAGGUUAUCAGCUUGUUUGUGGGGUAGUGGCUUACGAAGGCUUUGAAGGGUAGCCGACAUGGGAGGGUGAACGGGGACAAUGGGACUGCGGUACGGACCAGAAUGCUACGGGAGGCAGCAGGGGGGAGUAUGGCGCAACGGGCGGAAGCCUGAGACAGAGACGCCGCGUGCGGGAUGACGGCCUUCGGGUUGUAAACCGCUUUCGACUGUGACGAAGCGUGAGUGACGGUAAUGGGUAAAGAAGCACCGGCUAACUACGUG